AUGGCUGCCUCUUCUCCUCCCAAGUCCCAACCCAUCACUAUGGGGCCUCUUCCGCCGCUCGUAUUAGCACUCUUUCUCCUACCUCUCCUCUACUUGUUCUUCAGGGGCGGUAGCAAGGGACGAUCGACACAGGGAGCAAGAAACGCUCCCGGGCCGCCGAAACAGCUUCCCGUGCUCGGCAACCUCCUGCAGCUCGGCGGCCGGCCACACCGGUACUUCCAGUCGCUCACCCAGAAGUACGGGCCGGUGGUGCAGGUGCAGCUCGGCCGCGUGCGGAUGGUCGUCGUCGCGUCGCCUGAGGCGGCCAAGGAGGUUCUCCGGACGAACGACCUGCACUGCUGCAGCCGCCCAAAUUCACCAGGUGCGAGGAUGCUGAGCUACAACUUCCUCGACGUGGCUUUCGGCCCCUACAGCGACUACUGGCGCGAGAUGCGGAAGCUCCUCGUGCUGGAGCUGCUGAGCGUGAGGCGCGUCCAGUCCUUCGCCUACGCCCGGGCCGCAGAGGUGGACCGCCUUGUCUCCUCCCUCGCCGGCACCCCUCCGGGCACCCCGGUCGACCUCAGCGAGCAGCUGUACGCGCUCUCGGACGGCAUCAUCGGCACGGUGGCCUUCGGGAAGAUGUACGGGUCGGAGUCGUUCGAGAGGACCAGCUUCCAGCGGAUGAUGGACGAGACGCUGCGGGUGCUCGGCAGCUUCACGUUCGAGGACUUCUUCCCGUCGUCGGCGCUCGCACGGUGGGCGGACGCCCUCACCGGCGUGGCGUCGCGGCGGCGGAGGGUCUUCCUCAGGAUCGAUAGGUUCUUCGACGCGGUCAUCGACAAGCACCUCGAGCCGGGGAGGCUGGCGGCCGGGGUGCAGGAGGACAUGGUCGACGCGCUGGUGAAGAUGUGGAGGGAUCAAGAUGGGGCUCUGGCGCUGACGCGUGAUAACAUCAAGGGAAUCCUGAUGGAUACAUUCGCCGGUGGGAUCGACACUUGCGCUGUGACGACGAUCUGGAUCAUGGCGGAGCUGAUGAGGAACCCAAGGGUGAUGCGGAAGGCGCAGUCGGAGGUACGCGCCGCGGUGGGGAACAAAUCCAGAGUGUACGAAGAAGACGCCCAGGGCCUCAAGUACCUCAAGAUGAUAGUGAAGGAGAACUUCAGGCUCCACCCGCCGGGGCCUCUGCUGAUCCCAAGAGAGACCAUGCAGAGCUGCGAGGUCGCCGGCUACAGCGUGCCCGCGGGCACCAGGAUACACGUCAACGUCUGGGCCAUGGGGAGAGACCCGGAGAUAUGGGACAGGCCGGAGGAGUUCUUCCCCGAGCGGUUCGAGGACGCGCAGGUUGAUUUCAGGGGGCUGCACUUCGAGCUCCUUCCGUUCGGGUCGGGACGAAGGGCCUGCCCUGCCGUCGCCAUGGGCGUGGCCAAUGUGGAGGUCGUGCUGGCCAACCUGUUGUAUUGCUUCGACUGGGAGCUUCCCGAGGGCGUGAAGGAGGACGACGUCGAUAUGGAGGAAACAGGGCAGCUUGUUUUCAGCAAGAAGGUGGCUCUUGAGCUUGUGCCAGUUAAGCGGUAG
rnacentral:rRNA from 1 species